GGGGAUGAUUUGGCUUCGACAGGAGCAGUAAGAUCGGACGAGGCACGCGGUUUUGAGCAAAACCUAAAAAGCUCACAAUUUUUAAACGCAAAUAAUGCAAAUUAUGCUCCUGCUUACGCAAAAGUAGCGUAAGUUCAGUUGAGCCUCUGCUUUUUGGGUGUCGCGCCUCAAAAAGUGUGAGUCACUAGCGCGGAUUAGUCGUUAAAAGUGGCGAAGUAACGGCGAAAUUUAGCCUUUGUCUUUGGCGCGGUUUUGGGCGGUGAGCCUCCAAAGGCGAGAUUUUCACUGCUGCUAAGCGUGUAGAUUCGCCUUUUGAGCUGUUUUUGGACUGCGGUUCGAUCCCGCACAUCUCCACCA
rnacentral:tmRNA from 1 species